rnacentral:rRNA from 1 species
GAUGAACGCUGGCGGCAUGCCUAAUACAUGCAAGUCGAACGAGAGGAAGGAAAGCUUGCUUUUCUGAAUCUAGUGGCGAACGGGUGAGUAACACGUAGGUAACCUGCCCAUGUGCCCGGGAUAACUUCUGGAAACGGAUGCUAAAACCGGAUAGGUAGCAGACAAGCAUUUGACUGCUAUUAAAGUGGCUAAGGCCAUGAACAUGGAUGGACUUGCGGUGCAUUAGCUAGUUGGGGAGGUAACGUCCCACCAAGGCGACGAUGCAUAGCCGGCCUGAGAGGGCGGACGGCCACAUUGGGACUGAGAAACGGCCCAAACUCCUACGGGAGGCAGCGGUAGGGAAUUUUCGUCAAUGGGUGGAACCAUGAACGAGCAAUGCCGCGUGAGUGAGGAAGGUCUUCGGAUCGUAAAGCUCUGUUGUAAGAGAAAAACGACAUUCAUAGGGAAUGAUGAGUGAGUGAUGGUAUCUUACCAGAAAGUCACGGCUAACUACGUGCCAGCCGCCGCAGUAA